rnacentral:rRNA from 1 species
GAUGAACGCUAGCUACAGGCUUAACACAUGCAAGUCGCGGGGCAGCAUGGGGGUUGCUUGCAAUCCCCGAUGGCGACCGGCGCACGGGUGAGUAACGCGUAUUCAACCUGCCCUUCACCACGGGAUAACCCGGCGAAAGUCGGACUAAUACCGUAUGUUGUCCAUUGACGGCAUCCGAUUUGGACGAAAGGCUUGGCGGUGAGGGAUGGGGAUGCGUCCGAUUAGCCAGACGGCGGGGUAACGGCCCACCGUGGCUACGAUCGGUAGGGGUUCUGAGAGGAAGGUCCCCCACACUGGAACUGAGACACGGUCCAGACUCCUACGGGAGGCAGCAGUGAGGAAGAUUGGUCAAUGGGCGUAAGCCUGAACCAGCCAAGUAGCGUGCAGGAUGACGGCCCUAUGGGUUGUAAACUGCUUUUAUGCGGGGAUAAAGUGGCCCACGUGUGGGCUUUUGCAGGUACCGCAUGAAUAAGGACCGGCUAAUUCCGUG